rnacentral:rRNA from 1 species
GGGCCCGCACAAGCGGUGGAGUAUGUGGUUUAAUUCGAUGCUACGCGAAAACCUUACCUGGGCUUGACAUCCCGUGCUACCCUAUGAAAGUAGGGGUUCCCUUCGGGGACGCGGUGACAGGUGCUGCAUGGCUGUCGUCAGCUCGUGUUGUGAGAUGUUGGGUUAAGUCCCGCAACGAGCGCAACCCUUGUCUUUAGUUACCAUCAUUAAGUUGGGAACUCUAAAGAUACCGCUCGGCUAUAAGCCAGAGGAAGGUGGGGAUGACGUCAAGUCCUCAUGGCCUUUAUGUCCAGGGCAACACACGUACUACAAUGGGAAUCACAGAGCGUUGCUAGCUCGCGAGAGUAUGCUAAUCGCAAAAAGGUUCCCUCAGUUCGGAUUGGAGUCUGCAACUCGACUCCAUGAAGCUGGAAUCGCUAGUAAUCGCGGAUCAGCAUGCCG